ACUGAGUAAAGCGGCGGACGGGUGAGUAAUGCUUGGGAAUCUACCUAGUAGUGGGGGAUAACGUGUGGAAACGCACGCUAAUACCGCAUACGUCCUACGGGAGAAAGCAGGGGACCUUCGGGCCUUGCGCUAUUAGAUGAGCCCAAGUCGGAUUAGCUAGUUGGUAGGGUAAAGGCCUACCAAGGCGACGAUCUGUAGCUGGUUUGAGAGAAUGGCCAGCCACACUGGGACUGAGACACGGCCCAGACUCC
rnacentral:rRNA from 1 species